GAGCUACUCCCUCCAUUCGGAAAUACUUGUGUUAAAAAUGGUUGUAUUUAAAACUAAAACAAUUCUAGAUACAACCAUUUUUAGGACAAGUAUUUCCAAACGGAGGAAGUACUAU
rfam:Triticum aestivum genome assembly, contig: Triticum_aestivum_CS42_TGACv1_scaffold_194506_3AL